GGGUCAGUAGGUUGGUCGUGCCUCCGGUACGUACUGGUCUCACUGAUUCCUCCUUCCUGAAGAACCGUAAUGCCAUUAAUUUGGUGUUGCGGGGAAACAGGACUGUUACUUUGAAAAAAUUAGAGUGUUUAAGGCAAGCUAACGCUUGAAUACAUUAGCAUGGAAUAAUGAAAUAGGACGAUCGAUCCUAUUUUGUUGGUUUCUAGGAUUGACGUA
rnacentral:rRNA from 1 species